GCCUUCCCUGCUUGCUCUCCCCCUUGCCCUCUGGCUCUCUCUGAUGAAGCAAGCCUCCGUGCUGUGAGAUGCGCCAUGGAGAGACCUCCUGGACAGGGAACUGAGGGCAGCCUCUGACUCACGGCUCCUGAGCAGCCGAGGCCUCAGUCCCAGCCCGGAGGGACUGAAUCCUGUCAACGACCACAUGAGCAGGCGAAAUGUGUCAUUUCGUGGUCGUUUUGCUUGAGGGUUUGUUUCUUCCAUCAGAGAUUCAACAGGACGCAUUUCAUUGUGGGCACCUGCUUCACGCCUUGCCUGAGCGUCUGGGGGAAAGCGUUGGAAAGCCCCUAGGGCGCGUCCUCAAACUUCCAUCAGAGCCUGCGGCUCUUAGGACAACGUUGCCCUUUGGCUUUGCCCAGCCGUGCCUCAAGCCUGGUUUUUUUGUUUUUUUUUUCUCCUUGGGUUUUCCGUGGACCGUGCAUGGAGGUGACAGGGGCCCCUGAAAUUGUAGUCUUUAAGCUUGUCAUCGGACUAGUUUAUGGCUCGAAUCACACAGGGAGAGUAGGGGUGAGACCCUGAGGGGGGGUGAGACCCCAGGUGGUGAUCUUUUGCUGGUAUGUGUGUCUUUUGCUUGCUUGCCUUUCUUCCUCCCUUCCUCCUUCCUUCCUUCCCUAUUCCCUCCCGCCUUUCCUUCCUUCCUUCCUUCCUUCCUUCCUUCCUUCUUUCCUUGCUUCCUUCCUCCUUCACAGCAGCUAUGGCCUAUUAACCCAGUAGGCACAGCCCUGGCGGCUUCUGAGGAAACGAUUGGGGAACCAGGCUGACGACUGGGGCCCAGACCACGGUGCCUUUUCCGUGUUCACAGAGCGUCCAGGAUUUAGAAAUCAUUCAAGGGCCACAUCUAGACAGCCAUGAGGUUCAGCAGAGCUGGGAAAUCUAUGGUUCUCUAGAAAAAGUAAACUAGAAUUUAAAAAUUUUAAAAUCAUCAGAAAGAGUAGGCUCAUUAUAAAGAAAUUAAAAAAUACAGAUAAUCAAAAGAAGAAAACAAAUACUCAAAAAACACCACAAACCAACCUUGGUCAUACUUCCAGCAACUUUUCUCUGUAUGUAUAUAUACACACAGGUACCAAAUAUUUUGAAGAAAAUAAACACGUUUUAUAUCCUUCAAACUGGUGAAACACCCCCACCCCCAUAUUUCCACCUAUAAACAUUCCCCCUUGACGCCCA
rnacentral:lncRNA from 1 species